rnacentral:rRNA from 1 species
UGGGGAAUUUUGGACAAUGGGGGCAACCCUGAUCCAGCCAUCCCGCGUGUGCGAUGAAGGCCUUCGGGUUGUAAAGCACUUUUGGCAGGGAAGAAACAGCCUGGGAUAAUACCCCGGGCGACUGACGGUACCUGCAGAAUAAGCACCGGCUAACUACGUGCCAGCAGCCGCGGUAAUACGUAGGGUGCAAGCGUUAAUCGGAAUUACUGGGCGUAAAGCGUGCGCAGGCGGUUCGGAAAGAAAGGUGUGAAAUCCCAGGGCUUAACCUUGGAACUACACUUUUAACUACCGAGCUAGAGUACGUCAGAGGGGGGUAGAAUUCCACGUGUAGCAGUGAAAUGCGUAGAGAUGUGGAGGAAUACCGAUGGCGAAGGCAGCCCCCUGGGAUGAUACUGACGCUCAUGCACGAAAGCGUGGGGAGCAAACAGGAUUAGAUACCCUGGUAGUCCACGCCCUAAACGAUGUCAACUAGCUGUUGGGGUUUAUUAACCUUAGUAGCGCAGCUAACGCGUGAAGUUGACCGCCUGGGGAGUACGGUCGCAAGAUUAAAAC